rnacentral:rRNA from 1 species
AUUGAACGCUGGCGGCAGGCCUAACACAUGCAAGUCGAACGAGUGGCGGACGGGUGAGUAAUGUCUGGGAAACUGCCAGAUGGAGGGGGAUAAAUACUGGAAACGGUAGCUAAUAGCGCAUACCAUCGGAUGUGCCCAGAGGGGAUUCGCUAGUGGGUGGGGUAACGGCUCACCUAGGCGACGAUCCCUAGCUGGUCUGAGAGGAUGACCAGCCACACUGGAAAUGAGCCCCGGUCCAGACCCCUACGGGGGGCAGCAGUGGGGAAUAUUGCACAAUGGGCGCAAGCCUGAUGCAGCCAUGCCGCGUGUAUGAAGAAGGCCUUCGGGUUUUAAAGUACUUUCAGCGAGGAGGCGUUACUCGCAGAAGAAGCACCGGCUAACUCCGUGCCAGCAGCCGCGGUAAUUC